GACGAACGCUGGCGGCGUGCUUCAUACAUGCAAGUCGAGCGGGGUCCAUCCAGUGGCAACACUGGUGAAGACCUAGCGGCGAACGGGUGAGUAACACGUGAGGAACCUGCCGCAGAGACCGGGAGAACCCUCCGAAAGGCGAGCUAAUACCGGAUGCCCCCACCGGCUCGCAUGGUCUGGUGUGGAAAUGGAUUCCGCUCUGGGAGGGCCUCGCGGCCUCUCAGCUUGUUGGUGAGGUGACGGCUCACCAAGGCGUCGACGGGUAGCUGGUCUGAGAGGACGGUCAGCCACACUGGGACUGAGACACGGCACAGACUCCUACGGGAGGCAGCAGUAGGGAAUCUUGCGCAAUGGGCGAAAGCCUGACGCAGCAACGCCGCGUGGGGGAUGAAGGCUCUCGGGUUGUAAACCCCUUUCAGCCGGGACGAUUAUGGCGGUAUCUGCAGAAGAAGGACCGGCCAACUACGUGCCAGCAGCCGCGGUAAAAC
rnacentral:rRNA from 1 species